AAAGACUCAAUUCCUGAGUUUUUAUGUCUAACGUUUGACCGUUCGUCUUAUUUGAAAAAAAAUAUAAAAAAAAAUUUAAAAGAUAAGUCAUGCAUAAAGUACUAUUCAUGUUUUAUCAUCUAACAAUAAUAAAAAUAGUAAUCAUAAAAAAUUUUCAUAUAAGACGGACGGUCAAACGUUAGGCACGAAAACCCAAGAAUUAAGUCCUU
rfam:Oryza sativa Japonica Group DNA, chromosome 4, cultivar: Nipponbare, complete sequence.